AUAUUAAUAAGCGGAGGAAAAGAAACUAACAAGGAUUCCCCUAGUAACUGCGAGUGAAGCGGGAAAAGCUCAAAUUUAAAAUCUGGUGGUCCUUUGGCCAUCCGAGUUGUAAUUUAGAGAAGCGUCUUCCGCGCUGGACCGUGCAUAAGUCUCCUGGAAUGGAGCGUCAUAGAGGGUGAGAAUCCCGUCUUUGAGCUGGAUCUCUGUGCGUACGAGGUGCGUUCCAAGA
rnacentral:rRNA from 1 species